AUUUAGAUUUUUUUGGUCACGAAUUGCACCAUGUGCACGACCCUGAUUUACCAUUUCAGAUAGUGUCUGGGACGCACGAACAAAACGCCGCUAUUCGGAUAUAACGAUGGAUUAUUUUGGACCAAACCAACAUUUGUUAUUGAAGUAGCAGUCCUGGGAGUGCAUUCUGACGAAGACAACAAAAGCUCUCAGACCUUCAUGAGGACAGGCAGGGGCUGGACAGACUGGACAAGAUGAUGCUGAGGCUGCAAAAGGGCUGAGGGACAAUCACACCCUCACAGGACACACCCUCACAGCCUAGAUCCACAGAUGAUGCAAUCUCUAUUGCACUCCACACUGCCCUUUCCCACCUGGACAAAGGGAACAACUAUGUGAGAAUGCUAUACAUUGACUACAGCUCAGUGUUCAACACCAUAGUGCCCUCAAAGCUCAUCACUAAGCUAAGGACCCUGGGACUAAACACCUCCCUCUGCAACUGAAUCCUGGACUUCCUGACGGGCCGCCCCCAGGUGGUAAGGGUAGGUAACAACACAUCCGCCACACAGGGGCCCCUCUGGGGUGUGUGCUCAGUCCACUCCUGUACUCCCUGUUCACUCAUGACUACACGGCCAUGCAUGACUCCAACACCAUCAUUAAGUUUGCUAAUGACACAACAGUGGUAGGCCUGAUCACUGACAACGACGAGACAGCCUAUAAGGAGGAGGCCAGAGACCUGGCCGUGUGGUGCCAGGACAACAACCUCUCCCUCAAUGUGAUAAAGACAAAGGAGAUGAUUGUGGACUACAGGGAAAGGAGGACCGAGCACCCCCCCCAUUCUCAUCAACGUGGCUGUUGUGGAGCAGGUUGAGAGCUUCAAGUUCCUUCAUGUCCACAUCACCAACGUACUAACAUGGACCAAGCAUACCAAGACAGUUGUGAAGAGGGCACGACAAAACCUAUUCCUCCUCAGGAGACUGAAAAGAUUUGGCAUGGGUCCUCAGAACCUCAAAAGGUUCUACAGCUGCACCAUCGAAAGCAUCCUGACUGGUUGCAUCACUGCCUGGUAUGGCAACUGCUCGGCCUCCGACCUCAAGGCACUACAGAGGGCAGUGCGUACGGCCCAGUACAUCACAGGGCCAAGCUUCCUGCCAUCCAGGACCUCUAUACCAGGCGGUGUCAGAAGAAGGCCCUAAAAAAGGUAAACGACUCCAGAUACCCUAGUCAUUGACUGUUCUCUCUGCUACCGCACGGAAAGCGGUACCGGAGUGCCAAGUCUAGGUCCAAGAGACUUCUAAACAGCUUCUACCCUCCCAAGCCAUAAGACUCCUGAACAUCUAAUCAAAUGGCUACCCAGACUAUUUGCAUUGCCCUCCCUCCUUUUACGCCGCUGCUACUCUCUGUUAUUAUCUAUGCAUAGUCACUUUAAUAACUCUUCCUACACGUACAUAUUACCUCAAUUACCUUGACUAACUGGUGCCCCCUGUAUAUAGUCUCGCUACUGUUAUUUUACUUGUUACUUUUAUUUCUUAUUCUUAUUUGUAUUUUUUAAACUGUAUUGUUGGUUAGGAGCUUGUAAGUAAGCAUUUCACUGUAAGGUCUACAGCUGUUGUAUUGGGCGCUUGUGACUAAUAACAUUUGAUUUGAUUUGAUUUUGAUUUUGUUUUCAGGUUUGAAUGAGG
rnacentral:lncRNA from 1 species